rnacentral:tRNA from 1 species
AGCGGGGUAGAGCAGCUGGCAGCUCACCUGGCUCAUAACCAGGAGGUCGCGGGUUCGAGUCCCGCCCCCGCUCCCA